rnacentral:rRNA from 1 species
UUGGAGGGCAAGUCUGGUGCCAGCAGCCGCGGUAAUUCCAGCUCCAAUAGCGUAUAUUAAAGUUGUUGCAGUUAAAAAGCUCGUAGUUGAAUUUCGGGGUCAGUAGGUUGGUCGUGCCACAGGUAUGAACUGGUCUCACUGAUUCCUCCUUCCUGAUGAACCGUAAUGCCAUUAAUUUGGUGUUGUGGGGAGACUGGACUGUUACUUUGAAAAAAUUAGAGUGUUUAAAGCAGGCUAACGCUUGAAUACAUUAGCAUGGAAUAAUGAAAUAGGACGUUCGGUCUUAUUUUGUUGGUUUCUAAGAUUGACGUAAUGAUUAAUAGGGAUAGUUGGGGGCAUUAGUAUUCAAUUGUCAGAGGUGAAAUUCUUGGAUUUACUGAAGACUAACUACUGCGAAAGCAUUUGCCAAGGAUGUUUUCAUUAAUCAAGAACGAAAGUUAGGGGAUCGAAGACGAUCAGAUACCGUCGUAGUCUUAACCAUAAACUAUGCCGACUAGGGAUCGGAUGAUGUUAAUUUUUUAAUGACUCAUUCGGCGCCUUACGGGAAAC